rnacentral:rRNA from 1 species
CUACGGGUGGCACCAGUGGGGAAUAUUGGACAAUGGGGGAAACCCUGAUCCAGCAAUGCCGCGUGUGUGAAGAAGGCCUGCGGGCUGUAAAGCACUUUCGGUUGGGAGGACUGCUUCUAGCACUAAUAUUGUUGGAAGUUGACGUUACCUUCAGAAGAAGCACCGGCUAACUCCGUGCCAGCAGCCGCGGUAAUACGGAGGGUGCAAGCGUGAAUCGGAAUUACUGGGCGUAAAGCGCGCGUAGGCGGCUAGAUCAGUCGGGUGUGAAAGCCCCGGGCUUAACCUGGGAACUGCAUCCGAUACUGUCUAGCUUGAGUACAGGAGAGGAGAGUGGAAUUCCACAUGUAGCGGUGAAAUGCGUAGAUAUGUGGAGGAACACCAAUGGCGAAGGCAGCUCUCUGGCCUGAUACUGACGCUGAGGUGCGAAAGCGUGGGGAGCAAACAGGAUUAGAUACCCGUGUAGUC